GGCAAGAUGGCCGAGCGGUCCAAGGCGUGUGACUCAAGCGAAAGCUUGCCCGUAUUGCGGGUUCUCAUCUGGGUUUCCAGGCGGGGGUUCGAAUCCCCCUCUUGUCA